rnacentral:lncRNA from 1 species
CGACGAAGGCGGUAAUGCAACCCUAAUGCAUAGAUAGCUGACAUCAACUUCCGUCAGGCAGCUCCUGGAGAUCGAACCUUUCGAUUGUAACUGGGACAAUUUGCAUAGUGAUUCCCUUUCAGAGCUUUCCCGGGUCCAUAACAAGCCCAGGCAGCUAUUCAAAUGCAAGUUGCAUCCCCAAAUGCGAGGCUGGCCUGACCAAAAAGAGCCACUCGGCGCCCGGAAGAGGCGAGACUCGCGCUCGGGUUCUCAAUCCUUCUCUUUUCUCCUUUCUUUUUCCCUUUCUCCUCUCCGGUUCCUGAUUUAGCUGGGAGCUGUUUAUUUAUGGCUGCAAAUGUGUGUGUUCAAGAGAGAGAGGGAAUUGAUCUUUGCCUGGACUUAAAGAUGGAGCCGAAGAAGCUGGAGGGAAUUUGGGCUUGUGCGUCUGGCCCAGACCCUGUGCGCCGAGCCCGAGGUCUAUCCUCCCCGCACCUCUCACCUCGCGACCUUGCAGGAAUCCGCGGGCCCGGAUGCUGCCCAGCUGACCCUCCUGCCCCGGGCCCGGCUGCAGAGAAAGUCUUCGAGCAGGAGGCCAGCCUGUUCCUGUCUUUAAAAUGAGCACAAUAAAAGGGGGCAAAUCCUCGAACGCGAACCUGAUCUCAUGUCACAGAAGCAACUUGCCAUGAAAUCCGCUAAUGCGCUGCGACUCGCCCACCAGGGUAAGCCAGUCUCACAAGCGUUUGGGCGGGGGUGGUG